AGAGUUUGAUCCUGGCUCAGGAUGAACGCUAGCGGCAGGCCUAACACAUGCAAGUCGAGGGGCAUCACGAGGUAGCAAUACUUUGGUGGCGACCGGCGCACGGGUGCGUAACGCGUAUGUAACCUACCUAUAACAGGGGCAUAACACUGAGAAAUUGGUACUAAUUCCCCAUAAUAUUCGGAGAGGCAUCUCUCCGGGUUGAAAACUCCGGUGGUUAUAGAUGGACAUGCGUUGUAUUAGCUAGUUGGUGAGGUAACGGCUCACCAAGGCAACGAUACAUAGGGGGACUGAGAGGUUAACCCCCCACACUGGUACUGAGACACGGACCAGACUCCUACGGGAGGCAGCAGUGAGGAAUAUUGGUCAAUGGACGCAAGUCUGAACCAGCCAUGCCGCGUGCAGGAAGACGGCUCUAUGAGUUGUAAACUGCUUUUGUACGAGGGUAAACGCAGAUACGUGUAUCUGUCUGAAAGUAUCGUACGAAUAAGGAUCGGCUAACUCCGUGCCAGCAGCCGCGGUAAUACGGAGGAUUCAAGCGUUAUCCGGAUUUAUUGGGUUUAAAGGGUGCGUAGGCGGUUUGAUAAGUUAGAGGUGAAAUUUCGGGGCUCAACCCUGAACGUGCCUCUAAUACUGUUGAGCUAGAGAGUAGUUGCGGUAGGCGGAAUGUAUGGUGUAGCGGUGAAAUGCUUAGAGAUCAUACAGAACACCGAUUGCGAAGGCAGCUUACCAAACUAUAUCUGACGUUGAGGCACGAAAGCGUGGGGAGCAAACAGGAUUAGAUACCCUGGUAGUCCACGCAGUAAACGAUGAUAACUCGUUGUCGGCGAUACACAGUCGGUGACUAAGCGAAAGCGAUAAGUUAUCCACCUGGGGAGUACGUUCGCAAGAAUGAAACUCAAAGGAAUUGACGGGGGCCCGCACAAGCGGAGGAACAUGUGGUUUAAUUCGAUGAUACGCGAGGA
rnacentral:rRNA from 1 species